rnacentral:rRNA from 1 species
AUUUACAGCCAUACCACCGUGAAGGUGCCUGAUCUCAUCUUACCUUGGAAGCUAAGCAGGGUUGGGCCUGGUUAGUACUUGGAUGGGAGACAGCCUGGGAAUAUCAGGUGCUGAAGGCU